AUGAACAUUGCCCUCCUGACUCGGUGGCUUUGGUGGAUUGCCAACGGAGAUGGUGGCCUGUGGCUUUGCAUCAUUCAGCAGAAAUACCUCCGUGGCCAACCUCUUGCUUUCUGCCAGCGGUCUGGGGGCUCCCAGUUCUGGCAAUCUGUCAUCCAGCUCCUCCCAGUCCUCCGGAUCGGGACCUCGAUCGAGGUUGGAUCCGGCACUGCCACUCUGUUUUGGUUUGAUAGAUGGACUGGCGACUUGCCCCUCGCGGCCCGCUUUCCCGAUCUGUUCUCCAUAGCGGUUGCCCCACAGAUCUCGGUUGCGACAGCCGUUAUUGACUUGGGGCAACUCGCGUUCCGGAGACCUUUUGGCCCGGCCGAGACCGCCGACUGGCAGGAGCUGCUCGACUGCAUUGCCUUGCACGAGCCUAAUCUUAUGACCGAAGAUGACCGUUCUAGUUGGCGACUAGAGCCUUCUGGACAAUUCUCCACCAAAUCUCUUUACCAGGCCAUCGCCCCAUCGCCUGGCCAUGAGGCACUCACCUGCAUCUGGGAGAUUCGCCUGCCCCUGAAGAUUAGGAUCUUCUUGUGGCAAUGGAUUCACGGUCGCCUCCCGUCUGGCGUGGAGGUCCUGAAGCGCAAUGGCCCUGGUGAUGGGCGCUGCCCGCUCUGCGGGCCGGAAGAGGACUCGAAUCAUAUCUUCUUCACUUGCGUGUCCGCGCAGUUCCUAUGGAGUUGUUUCCACGAGAUAGUGGGUGGAAGCUGGGACCACAAUAACUUCCCCGCUCUCUUCGCCGAACUCCAGGCAAUCCCAUCCGCAGUGCGCCGCAUUAGGUGGCUGGCCAUUGGGGUGCUUGCCUGGACGCUGUGGACUGUUAGGAAUAAACUUGUGAUUCAGCGCAUUCCUCUUCGCCGUGCUACUGACGCUUGUUCAAAUGGUCUGGUUACUUGCAGCUUUGGCGGCCGUUUAGCCGCCCCAGGAAGAGAGAUGCCAUCACCUCCAUCAUCACCCAGCUUCGCGCGAUGGCUCUCCGGAUGGCUCCACAGCUUCCCCCACCAUCACCGGAACUAG
rnacentral:rRNA from 1 species